rnacentral:rRNA from 1 species
AGAGUUUGAUCCCGUCUCAGGAUGAACGCUGGCGGCGUGCCUAACACAUGCAAGUUGAGCGGAGCAAUCUUGAUGAAGUUUUCGGAUGGAAUCAGGAUUGUCUUAGCGGCGGACGGGUGAGUAACACGUGGAUAACCUGCCUUAUACUGGGGGAUAACAGCCAGAAAUGGCUGCUAAUACCGCAUAAGCGCACGGCGCCGCAUGGCGCAGUGUGAAAAACUCCGGUGGUAUAAGAUGGAUCCGCGCCUGAUUAGCUAGUUGGCGGGGCAGCGGCCCACCAAGGCGACGAUCAGUAGCCGGCCUGAGAGGGCGACCGGCCACAUUGGGACUGAGACACGGCCCAAACUCCUACGGGAGGCAGCAGUGGGGAAUAUUGCACAAAGGGGGGAACCCUGAUGCAGCGACGCCGCGUGAGUGAAGAAGUAUUUCGGUAUGUAAAGCUCUAUCGGCAGGGAAGAAGAUGACGGUACCUAACUAAGAAGCCCCGGCUAACUACGUGCCAGCAGCCGCGGUAAUACGUAGGGGGCAAGCGUUAUCCGGAUUUACUGGGUGUAAAGGGAGCGUAGACGGCAGGGCAAGUCUGGAGUGAAAGCCCGGGGCCCAACCCCGGGACUGCUUUGGAAACUGCCAUGCUAGAGUGCUGGAGAGGUAAGCGGAAUUCCUAGUGUAGCGGUGAAAUGCGUAGAUAUUAGGAGGAACACCAGUGGCGAAGGCGGCUUACCCAAGCUACUUCUGACGUUGAGGCACGAAAGCGUGGGGAGCAAACAGGAUUAGAUACCCUGGUAGUCCACGCAGUAAACGAUGAUAACUCGUUGUCGGGGGAUACAUGCUCGGGUACUAAGCGAAAGCGAUAAGUUAUCCUCCUGGGGGAGUGCGUUUGCAAGAAAGAAACUCAAAGGAAUGGACGGGGGCCCGCACAAGCGGAGGAACAUGUGGUUUAAUUCGAUGAUACGCGAGGAACCUUACCCGGGCUUGAAAGUUAGUGACGGAUCUUGAAAGAGGUCUUCCCUUCGGGGCACGAAACUAGGUGCUGCAUGGUUGUCGUCAGCUCGUGCCGUGAGGUGUCGGGUUAAGUCCCAUAACGAGCGCAACCCCUACCGUUAGUUGCCAGCAGGUCAAGCUGGGCACUCUGACGGGACUGCCGGUGUAAGCCGAGAGGAAGGUGGGGAUGACGUCAAAUCAGCACGGCCCUUACGUCCGGGGCUACACACGUGUUACAAUGGCAGGUACAGAGGGCAGCUACCCAGCGAUGGGAUGCGAAUCUCGAAAGCCUGUCUCAGUUCGGAUAGGAGGCUGAAACCCGCCUCCAUGAAGUUGGAUUCGCUAGUAAUCGCGCACCCCCCAUGGCGCGGUGCAUAC